CCUACGGGGCGCAGCAGUCGAGAAUCAUUCACAAUGGGGGAAACCCUGAUGGUGCGACGCCGCGUGGGGGAAUGAAGGUCUUCGGAUUGUAAACCCCUGUCAUGUGGGAGCAAAUUAAAAAGAUAGUACCACAAGAGGAAGAGACGGCUAACUCUGUGCCAGCAGCCGCGGGAAUACAGAGGUCUCAAGCGUUGUUCGGAAUCACUGGGCGUAAAGCGUGCGUAGGCUGUUUCGUAAGUCGUGUGUGAAAGGCGCGGGCUCAACCCGCGGACGGCACAUGAUAAUGCGAGACUAGAGUAAUGGAGGGGGAACCGGAAUUCUCGGUGUAGCAGUGAAAUGCGUAGAUAUCGAGAGGAACACUCGUGGCGAAGGCGGGUUCCUGGACAUUAACUGACGCUGAGGCACGAAGGCCAGGGGAGCGAAAGGGAUUAGAUACCCCUGUAGUC
rnacentral:rRNA from 1 species